UACAGAGGGUGCGAGCGUUGUUCGGAAUUAUUGGGCGUAAAGAGCUUGUAGGCGGUUUGUCGCGUCUGCCGUGAAAUUUCGAGGCUCAACCUCGAACUUGCGGUGGGUACGGGCAGACUAGAGUGUGGUAGGGGAGACUGGAAUUCCUGGUGUAGCGGUGAAAUGCGCAGAUAUCAGGAGGAACACCGAUGGCGAAGGCAGGUCUCUGGGCCACUACUGACGCUGAGAAGCGAAAGCAUGGGGAGCGAACAGG
rnacentral:rRNA from 1 species